UACGUAGGGUGCAAGCGUUGUCCGGAAUUAUUGGGCGUAAAGAGCUCGUAGGCGGUCUGUCGCGUCUGCUGUGAAAACUCAGGGCUUAACCCUGAGCUUGCAGUGGGUACGGGCAGACUUGAGUGCGGUAGGGGAGACUGGAAUUCCUGGUGUAGCGGUGAAAUGCGCAGAUAUCAGGAGGAACACCGGUGGCGAAGGCGGGUCUCUGGGCCGUAACUGACGCUGAGGAGCGAAAGCGUGGGGAGCGAACAGG
rnacentral:rRNA from 1 species